rnacentral:misc_RNA from 1 species
GACGAAGAACGCAGCGAAAUGCGAUAAGUAAUGUGAAUUGCAGAAUUCAGUGAAUCAUCGAAUCUUUGAACGCACCUUGCACCCUUUGGCAUUCCGAAGGGUAUGCUCGUUUGAGUGUCAUUGUACUCUCACUCACCCGAUCUUUGGAUCGGGAGUGGUGGACUUGGGUGUUGCUGCUUUACCGUGGCUCACCUCAAAUGGAUUCGUGCAACUCCUGGUUGGACAUAGUACGGCGUGAUAAGUGUCUUCGCCGGCACCUCACUAGAGGGUGGCUGACCGGGAGCUCUGUGCUUCAAACCGUCUUCGGACAACAACUGACAACUUGACCUCAAAUCGAGUAGGACCACCCGCUGAACUUAAGCAUAUCAAUAAGCGGAGGA